GUUUGUUCUCUAGAAAGGAUUUGAAAAGAAUAAAGGCUUGACGGGGACGGUGUAGAGGCACUUCAUGACCAGCUCCUGCUACUGUUACUAAUUGAUAUUAACAUGAGAAUGCUCCAAUUUUUCACCUUGCCAUGAUCGUACCAAGGGUACCAGUUUGUGAUGGUUGCUAGCUUCAGUGCAUCUACAGAGUAUCGGGUAGCGGUAACAGGAACAACAGCAUCUGUAUCCCCACUGCAUAUUGUGUAGGGAGAGGGAGAUUGAUCAAGCAAUCUUUAUUUGUAAUCAAGACUUUACUACAUCUACACUUCUCUUAAAUGUAAUCAGUCAUUUCGUACAAGGGAACAUCACAAAGUUUAAUACAACA